CAGGUGUCAGUUAAACAAGAUGUCAGUAAAGUCAGGUGUCAGUUAAACAAGAUGUCAGUAAAGUCAGGUGUCAGUUAAACAAGAUGUCAGUAAAGUCAGGUGUCAGUUAAACAAGAUGUCACUAAAACCAGGUGUCAGUUAAACAAGAUGUCAGUAAAAUCAGGUAUCAGUUAAACAAGGUAUGAUUAAAGUCAGGUGUCAGUUAAACAAGGUGUCAGUUAAACAAGGUGUCAGUAAAGUCAGGUGUCAGUUAAACAACGUGUCAGUAAAGUCAGGUGUCAGUUAAACAAGGUGUCGAUGAAGUAUCACUAUCAUGUAUUUUGGUAACUUGAUAAGGAAUCCUUUCAGCAGUAAGAUGGGUUACAGUUUUUUGCCGACAUUCUGUAAACAAGAGUUUGCACUACUAACAAUCAUACUGUAUAAUGUUAACGUACCCUACAUGUCUCGGCUAGCUAGGGAGGCUGUUGUAGUAGCAAUUCUUAAAUUAAUCUGUCUGAUACCGACUGAUACUUUGUUUUUCAGCAAUAACACUUUUUUGUUUUCAUCUGACUUCUAUAUUUAGUGGUUUUACACCAUCUGGGUCCUUACUACAUUUAAUAGUCAUCAAUACACGAGCGUUGUUUUUCCAAUAUUAAUGUCAAUUCAAAACUUAUUUUUAUUGGUUUUCCAUCUUAUUCCCAGUCAUUUAUAUUAUAGUUAAACAAAACUUAUGUUCAAUAUGUAUAAUUCCAAAAUUAAUUAGUAGUGCUAUGUAAUUUAUUGGUGAUUGAUAUAUUUACUAUGAGGGUGGGUAACACUACAGGGAGUUAUCUCCCUUAGCUUGGGGUUAUCUCGCUAACAUUAAACCUUAUAAUGAAUGGGGCCUCUAACAAGAUAUAUUUCUGUUAGGGCUGAUUGUGUUUUACUGUAUACAUGUAUAUGUAUGACUUACAAUGUUAUAUGAGAUUUUUUCACCUAUAAAAUCAUUGUUUAUAUGUAGUAGAUCAUGUUAAAUUGAAGUUGGAUCAAAAUUGUUCUGUUUUCCUUAGAUCAAGAAUUUUAUUGCAUAAUUAAAGUUUUGUGUAGUACAGGUAGUUUAUAUAAUAACAAUCUUAUUGCUUGGUUGGGUGUGUAUCGACUAGUUUAGGAUAUAAAGAGUGAAAUUAAAGAAACACUUGAUAUGAUCAUAACAACUUGUAUUGAACAGUUUGGAAUACAUUGAUUGUAACUAGUUCCAGGUAAUCUUAAUAUGUUAUAACAACUCCAGCAUUCAUUAAUGCAAUCAGUUUUCAAAUUACAAGAAUUCCAUAUUUUCCAGUACUUAAAAUUACUUAAAAUUGCAAUGCAGAAUGUAUUGUGAAUCGAUUCGCUGAUGUUGAGAUUCACAUGCCUUACGUAAUGCUGACAAAGGUUUAUAGUAAUAUAGAUGUGUAAAAGUUCAAAAUCACUAACAGGAUUUGGUUUUACCAGAUAUAACAGGUGAACUUCUUUAGAAUAGGUGGCCUUGACGACAGGUCAGGUUUAAUAUAGCUCUGAAAAUGAUUGGUUGUCUAUUUGUUACUGUCACAGUGUAAUCUUCACAAUCCUGUGAUCUUCUACCCACUUCUAUAAAAUAAUCACAGCAGUAAAAUCCUCAUAUUAGCCAAUUCAUUUUCAUCGUUUACUCUUAAAUAUUACAUGGUUUUCACCUUAUAGCAUUUACAUUGUUUUGAAUUCAGAGAUCAGUCAUGUUGAUAGAUUAGUUACCAAUGAUUUUGUGACAAUAGAUGAGGUUCUUGUGCAGUGACAUAAGCUUGUUUAUCAGUGCCAUAUAGCACACACCUUGUUAAAGAUUGUAUUAAGGUGAUGUCAUUUGGUGAGUAGCGAUUCAGCUGGGCCCAGUUGUUCAAGAGGUGAUUAGCCUAAUCACUUGAUUAGUGAAAAUCUCAUUUCUCCUUUACUUGAAUACCUCCAUGUGUGUAUUCCUUACAAUAGAUAGGUAGGAAGAGACUGAUAAGGUUGAGUUUCAUAAAAUUAUCAAGUUAGUUUUUUCAAGAAAUGAUUUUAUCAGAAUUUUAAAAUUGUUAAAUUGGGAUUAGCCUAAUUACCUUUGAACAACUGGACCUUGGACACAAACCAUCAUAUUUCACUUUAUGGAGAACUCUAGUGGUGAAGAAUGUUUUCCCUUUAUUUGUGUAUUUUUUCCACUAUUGGUGUAGAACAAGUAAUCAUUAUUUAGAAUAAUCAAUUCAUAUAAUUUUAUUAUACAUUUUUUUUCUUUUUUUGUGAUUAGCAAUUAACAUUGCUUUAUCAUGCAGUGAUCUGCUGUUUUGAGAUUUACCUGGUAUCAGGUUUGGUACUAUUUCCAGUUGAAUAAUUGUAUAUUAUCGUUCACCAUGCGGUAUAUACCGGUAUAUCUUAAUUUGUUUAUUGUUAUUAUCCAUUUUACAUACACAUUUUGUACCGUGGUGGAUUUCUGUACUAGUAGUCGAAGCAUAAAGACUUUAUACAUGACAAUAUCGUAUCACCCCGUGGGGGAUUUCUGUUCUAGUAGUCGAAGUAUAAAGACUUUAUACAUGACAAUAUCGUACCACCCCGUGGGGGAUUUCUGUACUAGUAGUCGAAGUAUAAAGACUUUAUACACGACGAUAUCGUACCACCCCGUGGGGGAUUUCUGUACUAGUAGUCGAAGCAUAAAGACUUUAUACAUGUCGAUAUCGUACCACCCCGUGGGGGAUUUCUGUACUAGUAGUCGAAGCAUAAAGACUUUAUACAUGACGAUAUCGUACCACCCCGUGGGGGAUUUCUGUACUAGUAGUCGAAGUAUAAAGACUUUAUACACGACGAUAUUGUACCACCCCGUGGGGGAUUUCUGUACCAGUAGUCGAAGCAUAAAGACUUUAUACAUGACGAUAUCGUACCACCCUCUGGUGUGUAAAAGUUGAUGUUCAUUAAUUUAUCAUCUCUCAACUCUACAAUCAGUUGGAGCCCAAAACGUUGACACAUUACGUACUUGAAGAAAAAAAAAUCUGCUUUUUAAUGAAGAAGCCCCAUGUUUGGUCAGACCCUAAGACACGCUAGUACAUUACAGAACCUGGCCUGUUACCAUGUUUAUGCUUGCAUAGAAAAUUAUCAAAAUUUAGUAUUGACAAGAAGGAUUGGACAGCAGGCUCAGCCUAUAUUAGUUUCUGUUGAUUAACUUGUUUUGUGUGUACAUUUAAACAGUGCUUUGUCUCUACAUAUAGUCUUCGUCGGUUUUGCUUUAAUUAAUUAGAAGUCAAUUUCUCUAUAAUAUAACCUAUAAACAUCAUGAUUUAAGACUUUAAAUGAUUGAAACAAAAUAUUGGGCAAAAACACUAAUAUUUUGUGACAUUGCAUAUCUACAAAGAAAAAAAAUUGACAUAGAGAUAGAAAAACGUGUACCAUCAUUAUCAUCAUAAUAAUAGCGUGUAUCUGUCUGGGAGUGAUAGUCUGGGAGUGUGAUGUGUGUGUAUGACCUAGAUAGGUGUCUGUUAUUUACGAUAAAUAAUUUCUUUUUAUUCGUAAGACAUGAUUGGCAGUUAACCAACUGUUAUUGGUUGAAUGGAUUGGCAGUAUAUGUCUGUUUAUUGGUUAGAAAUAACUGGCUGUAUAUUAAAUGUUUAUUGGUUAGAUAAAACAGGCUGUAUAUCAAAUGUUUUUCAGUAAGAUGUGACAAGCAGUACAUUUACUGAUUAUCAUUUAUAUAUUCUGUAACUAGUGAUAAAUCUAGUAACAAAUUAUAGGUUAGGUAUAACUGGCAGUAACUAGUAACAAAUUAUAGGUUAGGUAUAACUGGCAGUAACUAGUAACAAAUUAUAGGUUAGGUAUAACUGGCAGUAACCAGUAACAAAUUAUAGGUUAGGUAUAACUGGCAGUAACUAGUAACAAAUUAUAGGUUAGGUAUAACUGGCAGUAACUAGUAACAAAUUAUAGGUUAGGUAUAACUGGCAGUAACUAGUAACAAAUUAUAGGUUAGGUAUUACUGGCAGUAAAUUUAUUGUUUAUUUCUGUUAGAUAUAACUAGUAGAAGUAAAGCAUCUAUUUAACAGUUUAAUAUGAUAAGGUAUAUGUGGAAACUUCGUAAAUGACACCUCCUUUGAAUUAGCAAUAUCACCACAGGGAGGUACCUAUAUAUAUAUAUGCAUUCACAAAAGUGACCUCUACAUAAUGGCCGAUAUUUAAUUUGGUCAUUACUCUGUGCUGAUAUUACUUAUUCAAAGGAGCUGCUAUUUAGGAAGUUUUCGCAUAUGCUUUUUAUAUUUUGUAAGUCAUGUUAUAAUAUGCUAUUGUCAAAAUAACAUUCUCUGAAAAAAAAAAUCCCAAAAAUCUGUUUUUGAUUAAUUUUGUAAAAUUAAUUUUGUUUUUUUAAAGUAUAAACAGACACACUGCCUAGUUAUGUAUGAAUGAAUUCUGUGUGUUUUGUAAAUGGUCAUACAAGGAAUGGAUGUAAAACUGUGUGUAUGCAUUUCGGCAGAAUCUUUGUAUUUAUUUAUGAAGUGUAAAUAGUGGUAUCUGUAUGGAAUCAUUAGAGGAAGUCUUUGUACAUAACUUGUUUCAACCCAUUUUAUGUAUAUAUUGCUAUUUAAUCAUAAUGAAUCUUUAUUGCUUUAACAAUGUCGAAGCUCUCUUGGGUGUCAUAUAGAAGACAGACAUUAUUCAACCUAUUAAUAGCAAUUAUUUUGUGGAGAAAUUUAUAUUACUGUAUUGUGGUUGAAAAAAAAUAUGCAACAGUAAAUCCACACAUUUCCCCUUUUAUUAUUGUUAGUUAUUGCGAACCAGCAAUAAGCCAAUGUUAGAUGAUACUGCCACACCUGAAGUUAAUAAAGAUGGCAACACAUAACAUUGCAUCGCCUUGCUAUAAACACAGCCAUUUACAAUGAGUCAAGCAUUUGUGUGUUGACCACCGCGGCUUUUUAAAGGAUAAAUAGAGGUUACACCAGACCAAAGCAUCGACAUUGUAAUUUUGUGCGGGAAGUGCAGUAAUUUUGUGCGGGAAGUGCAUCAAUUUCUUCACGGUUUGUCGGUGACAGACCAUAAUAGUUUCAAUGAUCGUGUUGGUAACAAAUUAAUCUUUACAAAGUGUCAACAUAUAUAUUACCUGUGGACAUAUUGAUACAUCAUCUGUAUUGUUGUUACAGAUUGGUUAAAAAACAUUGUCUACUCUUGGGAUUAUUUCGUUCGAUUAUUCUACGGUAUCAAUAAAUCAUGUAUAGUUAAUCAAGUGCGAAUGUAUAUAGCUGAGCGGGACACAUUGUCACAUGUAUUAUAUCUUGUAAAUAAAACCUUUGUCAUAAUCCA